rnacentral:rRNA from 1 species
GUAGUCCUAGCUGUAAACGAUGGAUACUAGGUGUUGCGCGUAUCGACCCGUGCAGUACCGCAGCCAACGCGAUAAGUAUCCCGCCUGGGGAGUACGCACGCAAGUGUGAAACUCAAAGGAAUUGACGGGGGCCCGCACAAGCGGUGGAGUAUGUGGUUUAAUUCGAUGCAACGCGAAGAACCUUACCAGGGCUUGACAUCCCUCGAAUCCUCUUGAAAGAGAGGAGUGCCUUCGGGAACGAGGAGACAGGUGGUGCAUGGCUGUCGUCAGCUCGUGUCGUGAGAUGUUGGGUUAAGUCCCGCAACGAGCGCAACCCACGUCCUUAGUUGCCAUCAUUCAGUUGGGCACUCUGGGGAGACUGCCGGGGACAACUCGGAGGAAGGUGUGGAUGACGUCAAGUCAUCAUGCCCCUUACGUUCUGGGCUACACACGUACUACAAUGCUUCGGACAAAGGGCAGCGAGCGCGCGAGCGCAAGCAAAUCUCAUAAACCGAGGCACAGUUCAGAUUGCAGGCUGCAACUCGCCUGCAUGAAGGAGGAAUCGCUAGUAAUCGCAGGUCAGCAUA